AACGAACGCUGGCGGCAGGCCUAACACAUGCAAGUCGAACGCCGUAGCAAUACGGAGUGGCAGACGGGUGAGUAACGCGUGGGAACAUACCCCUCGGUUCGGAAUAACUUAGGGAAACUUGAGCUAAUACCGGAUACGUCCGAGGUUUUAACCGGCCUCGGAGAAAGAUUUAUCGCCGGAGGAUUGGCCCGCGUCUGAUUAGCUUGUUGGUGAGGUAAUGGCUCACCAAGGCGACGAUCAGAGCUGGUCUGAGAGGAUGAUCAGCCACAUUGGGACUGAGACACGGCCCAAACUCCUACGGGAGGCAGCAGUGGGGAAUAUUGGACAAUGGGCGAAAGCCUGAUCCAGCCAUGCCGCGUGAGUGAUGAAGGCCUUAGGGUUGUAAAGCUCUUUUACCCGGGAAGAUAAUGACGGUACCGGAGAAUAAGCCCCGGCUAACUUCGUGCCAGCAGCCGCCGCGGUAAG
rnacentral:rRNA from 1 species